rnacentral:rRNA from 1 species
CUUUACUGUACUCUGCUAUUGGGUUUCGGUCACGCGUGUGUAGCAUAGCUGGGAGGCGUUGAUCCCCUACUGCAAGGUAGGGGGGAGCCGUCAGUGAAAUACCAGUCUCGUGUUAUUGGAAUUCUAACCUGAGCCCGUGAAACCGGGACGGGGACAGUGGCAGACGGUCAGUUUGACUGGGGCGGUUUCCUCCCAAAUGGUAACGGAGGAGUGCGAAGAUUCCCUCAGCAUGGUUGGCAAUCAUGCGUAGAGCGUAUAGGUAUAAGGGAGUUUGACUGCGAGACCUACAAGUCGAGCAGGUGCGAAAGCAGGCCUAAAUGAUCCGGUGGUUGCUCGUGGUAGCGCCAUCGCUCAACGGAUAAAAGGUA